CUCCUCCUCGCGGCCCCAGCCCGCGCUCCUCCCUCAGCCGCCCCGGCGCGGGACGGACGAGACAAGAUGGCGGCGGGCGCGGCGGGGAGGCAGCACCAAGAGCUAAUGGGAUUUGUCAUGCCAACACUAAACUGAGACUAAGCUUCGACCCUUUAUACGGAAUUGUUAAAAGAGGAAGCUGCAGUACCAAAGACCGUGCUUGACUGCAUGAGACUGUACCUCUCUCACAGCAAAUUAAAUCUUACUUCACAAACUUUAUGAGAUACAAACUUUAAGUCUUUAAAGUUAAAUCAUUCAACAUCUCAUUUUUUUUUGCAUGGCAACAAUGAACCAGUGAUUGACUUCUUAGAGCUGUAACUUGAAUAACUGGGGAGAACAAACGCUAAGGUUCCUAGUAAGAUACAUACAAAAUGUGUUCUUAUCCUGUCAAAUUAAUAUUUGUAGUUUGAUUUACUCUCAAGACCAUAGAGGUCAAUUUUAAAACAAACAAAUUAACAUCAUCAACAAAAAAAGUAUACACAAACCCUUUGUUUUUGCAGGCUCUUGUUUCUUCCUAGUAGCAUUAGUCCCUUUUUAGAUACUUGGUAAACUUAAAACUUAUUGUACUGCUGUUUAAUACAGAUUUUUUUUUCUCAGCUAGAAAGAGGUAUCCUUUGAAAACGUAAAUGUUGUUAACAAAAAGGAAUGCAUUGGCAGUGUAAGCCAGUAAUUCAUGACUAGCUAAAACUGUGAAGAGAUAGCUGCUUACAAAGGCGAAUUGUGAACCGAUUUUAAGCAAUAACACUACAGGCAUUCAGGGUACUCGUAGCUGUAUCACUAACUGUAUGCUACUGAAGUAAAGAGUCCCUUACGUUUAAAUUGUGUGCUUUAAUGAUUUAAACAGCACUGAAUGAAUAUUUCAUUUUAUAUUAUGAGAGUCUAAGGAUAGAGUAAGAUAAAUAGCUAGCAACCUGUCCUGGUUUUACCCCACAGUGCUUGACAGUUGCUUGCGUGAUCCAGGAAGAUCGUGAGACUAUCAAUUUUCCUUUACUUGGGCAACUAUCAGAACUGUAAUUUGACUAAAACUGGAUUAAAUUUUUCUCAUUGUAGAAGAGUGCUCACCUCCAGCAUAUGCACAAGAUAGCAUCAAGAUGCACACUGCUUAAAUUUACAAUAAUUUAUUGUGUUUAGGAACAGUGAAUAAAUACCAAGCUGUUAGCUUCAGUUUGGCAGUACUUUUCCAACCAAAAUGUGUUUUUUUUUUCUUUUUUUUUUUUUUCUGGCAGAAACUCCAUUGCCAGCAAUGGAUGCAUCAGAACAUGAAAUUAAUAAACAAUACACACAGACAGCAGUUUUCUAAACAUACCCCCUCUUUUAAAAGGCGUGAUACAGAUUUACUGAACAAGUCUCAAGCAAAUUCUUCACAGAAGAAAAUUUUGCUACAAGCUGUCCUCUCUUCGAACAUUGUUUUCUUCACCAAUGCUGGUAGUUUAUUUCAUGGAGUACAUUAUCUAUUUUUAACAGUACUGAUGGAUCAUUAAAAACAAUUUUUGUUUUCUACUGAAGGCGAAGAUGUGCUCUGACUUGACCUGGUUCACAUCCAUCACAAGUAUCACUGCCAGGAUGUAUAUGAAAAGAAAGUACUGUUUCACCAAUCUUCACUUCAUCACCAUGCUCCAAGAUGUAGGGAUCACAUUUCGUUUUUGGCUAUAGCAAAAGAAAGUUUGGCAGCCAUGGUUAUUAGCUCCUAAAGCAGCACACCAAAUAUUUUGUGAAUGCUGCUCAUAAUCUAAUGAUUCAGCUUGGUCUUUCAAAUGCAGACAAAUAUUUAAACUAUGGGAGGUAUUUCACUCUAGCAACUGUUAACUGUAGUGGAUUUUUCCUAAUUCAUUAUAUAACACAAACAUGAAAUAUUACAAGUGGCCCUGAAAACUGAAGGGAAUCAAGGAAGGAAUUACUGUAUGAAAAAAGCCAUACAAUGACAUUGCUAGUGAUUUGCCAUACCGUAUUUUAAAAUGACUACAGUUUUCUGCAACACUACAGCAAAUACUUACCUGAAGAAUCUGAUUUCCAUUAACAACUGUCCCAUUCUGACUGCCUUGAUCCACAAGAACAUAAUUUUGCAAAUCGUGGUCAAAAUAUACUUCUGCAUGGAACUGAUAAAGAGAAGACUACGUGAAAUAUUCUCAUUAAGCAUGUACUUCACAAUUUACAUGCUGUUUUAAAGUAAGAUUUCAGAAUAUAUUUUGGGGACUUAACCAAAUGGGUUCGGUUAAUAGAAUAUUAAAAAAUUGCUUUUAUAUAUUUGAAAUGUAAAUGAAUGGGCAGCAACAGCAUGAGAUAAGGCGUACCAUUAAAAAUACAACUAUUUUUACCAUAAACUGAUCCAACACUGAAAAAGUGUAUGUACUUUCAAUAUAGAAAGUAUACUUUAUUUAAAGGAUUGCAAGAUCUAGUAAUAAAGCAUUUUUAGCUGUUCUUAUAAAUACAUGAUAUUUUUUCCUUGUAAGGUAUGUUAUAGCAAUCUCAAUUUUCCCCUUUCUGGAAGGCAUCAAAAAAGAUACUUAAAGAAAUGCAAUUAAUAAAAAAUCUGAAUCUCUAC